rnacentral:rRNA from 1 species
AUUGAACGCUGGCGGCAGGCCUAACACAUGCAAGUCGAACGAGUGGCGGACGGGUGAGUAAUGUGUGGGAAACUGCCUGAUGGAGGGGGAUAAAUACUGGGAACGGUAGCUAAUACCGCAUACCCUCAGAUGUGCCAAGAUGGGAGUGGCUUGUUGGUGGGGUAACGGCUCACCAAGGCUACGAUCCCUAGCUGGUCUGAGAGGAUGACCAGCCACACUGUAACUGAGACACGGUCCAGACUCCUACGUGAGUCAGCAGUGGGGAAUAUUGCACAAUGGGCGCAAGCCUGAUGCAGCCAUGCCGCGUGUAUGAAUAAGGCCUUCGGGUUGUAAAGUACUUUCAGCGGGGAGGCGUUACCCGCAGAAGAAGCACCGGCUAACUCCGUGCCAGCAGCCGCGGUAAUUC